AGCGGGGGCGAUAGCACGUUGAAUGGACCAGUUCCCAAUUAAUCACUGAAGCUAAGCAACGUUGCGCGUGGUUAGUAUCCGGACGGGUGAGCAGGUGAGCAAUCGCUUGAUACUGGCU
rnacentral:rRNA from 1 species